AUUGAACGCUGGCGGCAGGCCUAACACAUGCAAGUCGAGCGGUAGCACAGAGAGCUUGCUCUCGGGUGACGAGCGGCGGACGGGUGAGUAAUGUCUGGGAAACUGCCUGAUGGAGGGGGAUAACUACUGGAAACGGUAGCUAAUACCGCAUAACGUCGCAAGUCCAAAGUGGGGGACCUUCGGGCCUCAUGCCAUCAGAUGUGCCCAGAUGGGAUUAGCUGGUAGGUGGGGUAACGGCUCACCUAGGCGACGAUCCCUAGCUGGUCUGAGAGGAUGACCAGCCUCACUGGAACUGAGACACGGUCCAGACUCCUACGGGAGGCAGCAGUGGGGAAUAUUGCACAAUGGGCGCAAGCCUGAUGCAGCCAUGCCGCGUGUGUGAAGAAGGCCUUCGGGUUGUAAAGCACUUUCAGCGGGGAGGAAGGCGGUGAGGUUAAUAACCUCAUCGAUUGACGUUACCCGCAGAAGAAGCACCGGCUAACUCCGUGCCAGCCGCCGCCGUAAAAC
rnacentral:rRNA from 1 species